GCCAGUGUGGUGUAGUGGUUUGAAGGCUGGAUUAGGACUCUGGGGACCAGGGUUCGAAUGCCUGCUCAGCCA